rnacentral:rRNA from 1 species
CUCCCGCGCCAUCGCUUGUGGUGUGUAAAGCCUCCAAGCGCGAACGGUAGCCGCCUGAAGUGACCGCCACAUAGGACUAGACACGCCCAGACUCCUACGGGAGGCAGCAGUGGGGAAUAUUGCCCAAUGGCGCAACCUGAUGCAGCGACGCCGCUUAAGGGAUGACGCCUUCGGGUGUAAACCUCUUUCAGCAGAGACGAAGCUGAGUGACGCUACCUGCAGAAGAAGCCCCGGCCAACUACGUGCCAGCAGCCGCGGUUAAUACGUAGGGCUCGAGCGUUGUCCGGGAUUUAUUGGGCGGUAAAGAGCUCGUAGGCUGGCUUGUCGCGUCGUCCGUGAAAACUUGGGGCUCAACCCCAAGCGUGCGGUCGAUACGGGCAGGCUAGAGUUCGGCAGGGGAGACUGGAAUUCCUGGUGUAGCGGUGAAAUGCGCAGAUAUCAGGAGGAACACCGGUGGCGAAGGCGGGCCUCUGGGCAGAUACUGACGCUGAGGAGCGAAAGAGUGGGGAGCGAACAGCAGUUAUACCAGGU